UACGUAGGGGCAAGCGUUGUCCGGAAUCAUUGGGCGUAAGCGCGUGUAGGCGGCCGGUAAGUCCGCUGUGAAAGUCGGGGGCUCAACCCUCGAAUGCCGGUGGAUACUGUCGGGCUAGAGUGCGGAAGAGGCGAGUGGAAUCCUGGUGUAGCGGUGAAAUGCGCAGAUAUCAGGAGGAACACCAAUUGCGAAGGCAGCUCGCUGGGACGUGACUGGCGCUGAGACGCGAAAGCGUGGGGAGCAAACAGG
rnacentral:rRNA from 1 species